AUGAACGUGCUCUGUCUCGAGUCUCGCGUUGCUGUUGUGGUCGACUAUCUUGCGAGGCUGAAGGUUGCAACAUCCCGCAUCGACACAACACUUUGGCCAGGAGAAACACUUCAGAACGACCUCGAGUCUCUGAUGACUCGACUGAAUGAAAUUCCAAGUCGAGUGCAAGAAUGGAAAAAAUCUUCUGCCAGGUGUGGUGCUGACGUUGGUCUGUCUCUGGUCCGUGUUCACUGCAAGGACGCGCGAGAGGACAAGCUGGCGUCUCUCAAAGUGGCCAAUACCAAGAAGCACGACUUCCGAUCUUUCAUGGAGACCUUCAUUGCUGCUGCCACUCGGAUCGCAGAUGGAAUCGACCUGGACGAGUUCGGUGCGCCUUCCAGUCCUCCACAGGAGGAGUAA
rnacentral:rRNA from 1 species